GCUUAAGGGCGCCGCGUCCCAAUUACCUCUGAUUUCAUUUCAAGCAGGGAUUUUCCAAGCAAGUAUUCGUCGUUUAAUCGGAUUGGCAUUUCCUACUUUGAAAACAUACUCCGAGUAUCUGACACGUAACAUCCGCACCAUGCAUGUUGUUUUAGGAUAGUAGAAUAUAUUAAUUGUGUUUUUGCUUACACAACAAUAAAAAGGGUACACAGUUGGUCUCCCACCAUGUACACUGUCAUCAGCACAAAAUAUGUCUGAUAAACGAUAAAAUUCACCAUCCCCCCUGAUUUGUUUUUACAACUCGACUACUGCUUAUUCACAUAACUUAUUCAUCAUUAUGUUCUGCAUUGUAAUGAUACUGUACUAAGCAGUAAUCGAAACCUAAAAGAGCGUUUCCGCCGGGUGUGGUUAUCCCCCACUGCUUUGCAAUCAUCCGCUGUGGCAUUAACAUCUAAUGGAGACGUUUCUAGGCAAUGAUGUUUUUGAAGGAUUUUCUUUUGGUUAUAAUGGAGAUUCUGGUAUGAAGAAACGAUGAAAAAAGAAAACGACUGCAAACUUUCAAUGUGGCGGUAAAUCUCUGCAUUAAGUAGCCCACUCUAUCCUGUGUCAGUCUGCAGGUCCCUGGUCUUCAGACAAAAAAAGUCCAUAAUGGGUUUGGUGGUCCUUACACUACAACAUGCUUCUUUGUGCACUGAUACAAACUCCAACUUGAGACUCACAACAUAAAGUGUUUGCUGAGGCUGGAUCACAAAGGUACUGAUUUAGUUCUGUCAUUUUUUAAGGUUCUACUCCUGUGGUGUUUAGCAACUAUUCUAUUAAUUAAUUGUCUAACCCUGCCUGUGAGCUUCGAUAUGUGAUCAUUGUUCCUCAUUGCUGAUUAAUUUUGUCUGUCUGGCACGUGCUGUUAUGAUUUUUGACUGUUCUCCUUGAUACAUUAAAUACUUUUUAGCCCAAACCACCUGCAAUUUAGUUACUGACUAUUUAGCCUCUUUGAAACCCUGUUAGUUGCCUCAUAAUAUCUUUGAGAAAAGGUUCUUUUACAUAUGGUGUCUAUUUUAUUUUGUUCACCCACUGUAUUGAAACACAAUCACAUUUUUUGUGCAUUUUGAGAUACCGGCUUUAAACUGCGGGAGGAAACCCAUGCAACCUGAGAAUAAAAUGCAACUCCUCAGACUCAAAGGUGUAGCUGGGCUUCAGACGGCCAGAUACAACAGUGCUACACACUGAACCACCACAGCACACCAUUUCCCUGAAUCCCAGGAGCAGGCCAAUAAGAUAAGGUACUGGGGGGGAUUCAUCACAUACCACAGCAAGGUAUAUAAGGUGCACAUAAGCAAUCGUGUAAAUCAAAGACAAAAAGCAUAGAUAGUACAAGUAAAUAAAUUGCAAAAAGUACACAGUACACAAACAGAAUAUCCUGAAAAUAGAAUAUUAAGGAAAUAAAUAGAAAUAAAAAAAUUAAUGGGUAGUGUAUGUGUAAGUAUAAAUCAGGUCGUACUCGACGUUUACCCUGUCGUGUUAUGGCUGGGGGUGGGGGGGCGGCAGAUGUGAGUAUGAGGCUACUGCUAGUAAGUGGUCUGUGCAAACAAUCUCUCAUGUAUCAAAGCCUGAUUAUUUGCUUGUCAAUCCAGUCCAACAGGUUACCUUUCAUUACAUGGAACAAAAGUGCAUUGUACUUUACCUUCCUCAUCAUAUUAUUAGGUGAA